rnacentral:rRNA from 1 species
AGAUUGAACGCUGGCGGCAUGCCUUACACAUGCAAGUCGAACGGCAGCACGGGAGCAAUCCUGGUGGCGAGUGGCGAACGGGUGAGUAAUAUAUCGGAACGUGCCCAGUCGUGGGGGAUAACGCAGCGAAAGCUGUGCUAAUACCGCAUGCGCCCUUCGGGGGAAAGCCGGGGACCUUCGGGCCUGGCGCGACUGGAUGAGCCCAUGUCGGAUUAGCUAGUUGGCGGGGUAACGGCCCACCAAGGCGACGAUCCGUAGCUGGUCUGAGAGGAUGAUCAGCCACACUGGAACUGANACACGGUCCAGACUCCUACGGG